rnacentral:rRNA from 1 species
AACGAACGCUGGCGGCAUGCCUAACACAUGCAAGUCGAACGAAACCUUCGGGUCUAUUGGCGCACGGGUUCGUAACGCGUGGGAACCUGCCUUUAGGUUCGGCAUAACUCAGAGAAUUUUGAGCUAAUGCCGGAUGAUGUCUUCUGACCAAGGAUUUAUCGCCUUUAGUUGUGCCCGAGUUGGAUUCGCUAGUUGGGGGGCUAAAGGCCUACCAAGGCGUGGAUCCAUAGCUGGUCUGAGAGGAUGAUCAGCCACACUGGGACUGAGACACGGCCGAGACUCCUACGCGAGGGAGCAAUGGCGGAUGUAGGAACGCGGGCGAAAGGAUGAAGGAGCACUGACGGGUGAGUGCUGGAGGUAUUAGGGUUGUAAAGCUUUUGUAACCGAGCUGAUCAUGACAGUAUCGGGACAAUAAGCCACGGCUAACUACGUG